rnacentral:rRNA from 1 species
CCCGCGGUCAGACGGAAAGACCCCGUGCACCUUUACUAUAGCUUCGCAGUGGUAUUAGGACGUGGAUGUGUAGGAUAGGUGGGAGGCUUUGAAGCGGAGGCGCCAGCUUUCGUGGAGCCAACCUUGAAAUACCACCCUUCUACUUCCUGAUAUCUAACCGCGGCCCGUGAAACCGGGUCCGGGACCCUGUGUGGUGGGUAGUUUGACUGGGGCGGUCGCCUCCUAAAGAGUAACGGAGGCGCGCGAAGGUGGGCUCAGAGCGGUCGGAAAUCGCUCGUUGAGUGCAAUGGCAUAAGCCUGCCUGACUGUGAGACUGACAGGUCGAACAGAGUCGAAAGACGGCCAUAGUGAUCCGGUGGUCCCGAGUGGAAGGGCCAUCGCUCAACGGAUAAAAGGUACUCCGGGG